rnacentral:rRNA from 1 species
UACGUAGGAGGCAAGCGUUGUCCGGAAUUACUGGGCGUAAAGCGCGUGUAGGUGGUGGGACAAGUCUGCUGUGAAAGCGCCUGGCUUAACCGGGCGAGGUCGGCGGAAACUGUCGCACUCGAGGACGGUAGAGGGGGGUGGAAUUCCCGGUGUAGUGGUGAAAUGCGUAGAGAUCGGGAGGAACACCUGUGGCGAAGGCGGCCCCCUGGGCCGGCCCUGACACUGAGACGCGAAAGCCAGGGGAGCGAACGGG